AUUGAACGCUGGCGGCAGGCCUAACACAUGCAAGUCGAGCGAGUGGCGGACGGGUGAGUAAUGUCUGGGGAACUGCCUGAUGGAGGGGGAUAACUACUGGAAACGGUAGCUAAUACCGCAUCCUAUCGGAUGUACCCAUAUGGGAUUAGCUAGUAGGUGGGGUAAAGGCUCACCUAGGCGACGAUCCCUAGCUGGUCUGAGAGGAUGAUCAGCCACACUGGAACUGAGACAUGGCCCAGACUCCUACGGGAGGCAGCAGUGGGGAAUAUUGCACAAUGGGCGCAAGCCUGAUGCAGCCAUGCCGCGGGUAUGAAGAAGGCCUUAGGGUUGUAAAGUACUUUCAGCGGGGAGGCGUUACCCGCAGAAGAAGCACCGGCUAACUCCGUGCCAGCAGCCGCGGUAAUAC
rnacentral:rRNA from 1 species